CAGUAGCCGCGGUAAUACGUAGGGUGCAAGCGUUAAUCGGAAUUACUGGGCGUAAAGCGUGCGCAGGCGGCUAUGCAAGACAGAUGUGAAAUCCCCGGGCUCAACCUGGGAACUGCACUUGUGACUGCAUGGCUAGAGUACGGUAGAGGGGGAUGGAAUUCCGCGUGUAGCAGUGAAAUGCGUAGAUAUGCGGAGGAACACCGAUGGCGAAGGCAAUCCCCUGGACCUGUACUGACGCUCAUGCACGAAAGCGUGGGGAGCAAACAGGAUUAGAUACCCCCGUAGUCCCUGUCUCUUAUAC
rnacentral:rRNA from 1 species